AUACGGAGGGUGCAAGCGUUAUCCGGAUUUAUUGGGUUUAAAGGGUGCGUAGGCGGUUUGAUAAGUCAGCGGUGAAAUAUUUCAGCUUAACUGGAAGGGUGCCGUUGAUACUGUCGAGCUUGAAUUUAGUUGCUGUGGGUGGAAUGUGUGGUGUAGCGGUGAAAUGCAUAGAUAUCACACAGAAUAUCGAUUGCGAAGGCAGCUCACAAAGCUAAUAUUGACGCUGAUGCACGAAAGUGUGGGGAUCAAACAGGAUUAGAUACCCUGGUAGUCCACACUGUAAACGAUGAUAACUCGCUGUCGGCGAUACAUAGUCGGUGGUCAAGCGAAAGCGAUAAGUUAUCCACCUGGGGAGUACGACCGCAAGGUUGAAACUCAAAUGAAUUGGCGGGG
rnacentral:rRNA from 1 species